UACCAAGGCUUGACAUGCAGGGAAAUCCUCCAGAGAUGGGGGGUCCGCAAGGGUCCUGCACAGGUGGUGCAUGGUUGUCGUCAGCUCGUGUCGUGAGAUGUUGGGUUAAGUCCCGCAACGAGCGCAACCCUCGUUCUAUGUUGCCAGCGCGUGAUGGCGGGGACUCAUAGGAGACUGCCGGGGUCAACUCGGAGGAAGAA
rnacentral:rRNA from 1 species